GGGUCAGUAGGUUGGUCGUGCCACCGGUACGUACUGGUCUCACUGAUUCCUCCUUCCUGAAUAACCGUAAUGCCAUUAAUUUGGUGUUGCGGGGAAACAGGACUGUUACUUUGAAAAAAUUACAGUGUUUAAAGCAAGCUAACGCUUGAAUACAUUAGCAUGGAAUAAUGAAAUAGGACGAUCGAUCCUAUUUUGUUGGUUUCUAGGAUUGACGUA
rnacentral:rRNA from 1 species